CCGCCUUCCCUUUGCCUCAGCCUCUUCACCCCCAUCCCUCAUUAGCUGUGUAAUUAUUGCCUGCCUCAAUUACACCAGUCCCAGCGCUGAGGUCUGGCUGCAAGCUGGGAAUUUUCUGUCACAACACGCUCACGAGUUCUCACAUGUGGGAAGGAUCCCUUUCCUGAUGAUGCUUUGCUGUUUCAGGCCGUUUUUACCUCACUGCUCAGGGUGAGGAUUAUCACGGCAAGGCAGAGCUGAGCUGUGACCCACGCUUGUAUCUUCGCUGUCACAGAAAUCUCAGCUGUGCAGAUACACUGACAGGUGACUACUCUAAGUUUACUACACCUGAGAAUGUCACCUUCGAAAGGCUUGUGAGCAAAGCCUGGCCCCGUUCAGUCUCCUCCACUCCAGAGGAUCCCUGUGAUGUGGAGCCGAGCAGCCCUGGGAGUGCUGCAGACAGAUGGCUCCACUUUGCUGAACAUUCCUGCCUUGCCUGUUUGUUGUAUUUUAACACCCUUCACAAGAAACUGGUUCCAAAGAUCUUCCAUGAGCCACAUCCUGAGGAGCCACAACCACCUGCAAACCUGUGCUGAUCUAGAAGCAAACUGGAAAGCAAGUGGGUGCAGCAAAUGCAUGGCACAGAACACAAGAGGAGCAGAGGAAGGAGUCAGGAGUUCCGCUCCUUGCAGUGACAUUGCUGGGAAGAUGAAACUUCAGGUGACACACCCACAGCUGGAGACCCCAAGGCCUUGAGCAUAAACUGCUCACAGCAUCCAGCGUGCAGCUGAACUUCAGAGAAGCCAAAACCUGCUAUGCUCUAAACCCAGCUUUGGGCAAUUCUGAAAAACCCCUCGUGACAAUCUCUGAGAAGUCCCUUCCUGGCCUUUGCAGGACACUAACAGGGCAAGUUCUCACCCCCUGGAACAUCAGUAAAGGCUCUAACCAAAAAGGGAAAGAUUUUCUCGUCUCACCUGUACCCACCUGCUGGCAAUUCCCAUUCCCUCCAGCCAGUGCUUUUCCAGCUCUUUGAGCCCGAAGGUUCAGGCUCCCCAGAGAGAUUUCCCAGCCCUGACACACUGCAUUCACAGGGCUGUUCACCAGCGAGCCUGUCCUUUCCAAUCCAAGGAGAGAAAUCAGUCCUUGCACGGCUCUGCUGUUGCAUUCACGUUCCCAGCAGGCUCUGACACUGCCCACCCUGAGAGGAAUUCCAUCAUUUGCCCACACCAGCUUGGCAAUAUUUACCCUUAUUUACAUACAAACUGGCAUCCAUUUAAUUCAACUGCUGAACUGCUACAAACCACCAUGUACCUCUCCAAAAAAGCCUUUUGGAAGAAGAGCACCCACACAAGCUUCUGCAGAGGUGUAACAGACACCCCUGGAGCCCUGCUGGGUGGGGGUUC